UGCAAGUCGAGCGGACAGAAGGGAGCUUGCUCCCGGAUGUUAGCGGCGGACGGGUGAGUAACACGUGGGUAACCUGCCUGUAAGACUGGGAUAACUCCGGGAAACCGGAGCUAAUACCGGAUAGUUCCUUGAACCGCAUGGUUCAAGGAUGAAAGACGGUUUCGGCUGUCACUUACAGAUGGACCCGCGGCGCAUUAGCUAGUUGGUGAGGUAACGGCUCACCAAGGCGACGAUGCGUAGCCGACCUGAGAGGGUGAUCGGCCACACUGGGACUGAGACACGGCCCAGACUCCUACGGGAGGCAGCAGUAGGGAAUCUUCCGCAAUGGACGAAAGUCUGACGGAGCAACGCCGCGUGAGUGAUGAAGGUUUUCGGAUCGUAAAGCUCUGUUGUUAGGGAAGAACAAGUGCAAGAGUAACUGCUUGCACCUUGACGGUACCUAACCAGAAAGCCACGGCUAACUACGUGCCAGCAGCCGCGGUAAUACGUAGGUGGCAAGCGUUGUCCGGAAUUAUUGGGCGUAAAGGGCUCGCAGGCGGUUUCUUAAGUCUGAUGUGAAAGCCCCCGGCUCAACCGGGGAGGGUCAUUGGAAACUGGGAAACUUGAGUGCAGAAGAGGAGAGUGGAAUUCCACGUGUAGCGGUGAAAUGCGUAGAGAUGUGGAGGAACACCAGUGGCGAAGGCGACUCUCUGGUCUGUAACUGACGCUGAGGAGCGAAAGCGUGGGGAGCGAACAGGAU
rnacentral:rRNA from 1 species